GUGCUCGGGCCUGGUAUGUACAGAUGGCUGGUUAGGAUUCUCGGCACCAUUUUCCGUUUCUGCGACCGGUCAGUGCCCCCUACUUGGAUGUUCCUGAAGAGGCAGCACUCGAACAGCACUCUCUUCAGCACUCUGGACACUGAUGAAAUACCAGCCAAAAGACCAAGAUUAGAUUGCUUUAUUCACCAAGUGAAAAACAGUCUCUACAAUGCUGCCAGCUUAUUUGGAUUCCCAUUCCAGCUGACUACAAAGCCCAUCAUAACUUCUGCUUGUAAUAGAACACGGAAUGUGGCCCCUUCAGGAGAGGUAUUUUCGAACUCUUCAUCUUGUGAAUUGACAGAUUCUGGAUCCUGGAACUACAUGUGGAAACUAGGUAAUAAAUCUCCUAAUGGCGUAAGUGACUAUCCAAAGAUCAGCGUGACAGUAACCAGAGAUCAGCCACGUAGAGUUUUGCCUUCCUUUGGUUUUACUUUAAACUCAGGAGGCUAUAAUAGAAGACCAGGUGGCCAUCGCUAUAGCAGAGGCAAUCCAGAGAGUUCCUUAAUGUGAUAAUCUCAGGAACAGGCUGUAACAGGGAUGAUUUCAGAAGACAAUGGCAAGUGCCUGAGGCGUCCCCAUUGUACCGUGGAGAAGGAUGUUCAAAAAGGGUAAAAAAAGAAGUACCGGAAGUUACUGGAGAGACUUAAAGAAGGUGGUCAUGGAAACUCUGUCCCUUCUAUAGCUUCGAAUCAUCACAGUUAUCAAAGAAGUCAGAUGGACACAUUAAAGACCAAAGGCUGGAGGGAAGAGCAAAAUCACGGAGUCAGAACAACUCAAUUUGUUUCAAAACAAUACAGACUUGUUGAAACAAGGGGACCUCUGUGUUCAAUGAGAAGUAAAAAGAGGUGUUCAAAGGGGAACAUUUCUGACACAGAGAAGACAGUCGGGAUCAGACUUGAAUAUGAAGGUAGGAGGGAACACCAGCUGGAGCCUGACCUGUCAGAAGAAGUAUCAGCCUGACUUUACCUGGGCAGUAAAAGCAAUGGCUUACUCAGGAGGAAAAUGUCAAUACUUGAGACAAAGGAAAAGAAUUGCUCAGGUAAAGAGAGAGAUAGAAGAACAGAUGAUCUUCUUGAACUUACAGAGGACAUGGAAAAGGAAAUUGGUAAUGCUUUAGGCCAUGGCCCACGAGAUGAGAUCUUAAGUAGUGCUUUUAAAUUACAAACCCCUCAAGGAGACAUCCAGACAUUAAAGAACUAUCAUUGGCUCAGUGAUGAAGUCAUUAAUUUUUACAUGAAUCUUCUAGUGGAAAGAAAUAAAAAGCAAGGCUAUCCAGCACUUCAUGUUUUCAGUACUUUCUUCUAUCCUAAAUUAAAGUCUGGUGGUUACCAAGCAGUGAUAAGAUGGACCAACGGAGUAAAUCUCUUUGAACAAGAACUUUAUUCUGGUGCCCAUUCAUCGGAAGGUACAUUGGAGUCUGUUGGUAAUAGACCUGAGAAAGAAGUGUCUUAAAUAUCUGUAUUCUAUAGGACAGAAGGGCCAUGGGAUCUGUGAGAUUCUCCUUCAGUAUUUACAGGAUGAAAGUAAAACCAAAAGGAAUAUUGAUCUGAAUCUUUUAGAGUGAACCCACUAUAGCAUGAAGUCACAUGAGAUUCCUCAACAGUUGAAUGGGAGUGACUGUGGAAUGUUCACUUGUAAAUAUGCAGAUUAUAUCUCUAGGGACAAACCUAUCACAUUUACUCAGCACCAGAUGCCUCUCUUCCGGAAGAAAAUGGUGUGGGAAAUCCUUCAUCAGCAGUUGCUGUGAGAAUGCCCCGCCUGGUCCCUCUAGCUGCUGGUGGUUCUUUCAUGGAUGUCUCCAUAUACCUCAUGCAUUGUGGGUUAAAAAGUCCCUGCAUCACUUCUGUUCUCUCACAGGUACUGAGCUGUCAAGUGCAGGAGAGCGUCUCCUUGCACCCUCGUCCUGACUUAGGGUGCAGAGGGCUGCUUGCAGACCUGUUUGUAAGGCUGUGCCUGCUCACAGCCCUGGACUAGUCAACCCACACAAGAACAAAUGCUAAUUAAAAAUUUUUUUUAAGAUUUUCUUCCCUAUGAAUGUGGGAAAUGCAGGAUUUAUUCUGUGAAUUGUUUUUUUCUGUGUGUUUGUUCAUUGUAUUCAUUCACUCAUUUGCAGAUAUAAGGGGCAGUGGCCAUUUACCACUGGCUCUCUUACAGUUAGCUCUAAAUUACUUGUUUGAAUUAUUUAUUUCUGAAAGGAAUAUUAAUUAAGCUGCCACUCCCUACUGAAGAUCAGGAGGGAAAUCAC